GAUACACACUGUGAUACAGUAGUUGGCGCUAUGCGCCUAAAACGCUGGUUGCGACGCGCCAUAAACAAAAUGAAGAAGAUUACAGCCAGCUGAGAGCUAGCUUGCUAGUAUAACAAAAACAACAGGUGUACAUCAUCAACAAACACAAGGAAAAGCCACAAAUGCCAACUAACACCAAUCUUUGGAUUCCAGAGAAGCUGCUUGAUCUGCCACAGACUCCUGAGUGAUGCUUGAACCAUCACGGCAGCGCCAUCUGUCAGGGCUAAUUGACGUGAUGAGGAGCUAUUACAGUAUCGAUCGACCUGGCCGACUGACACUGGCUCAUCGUAGGCCUGCAUCGACCUUACUAAAUCCCAUGAAAUGUCAAAGUUACAUCACAUCAGCGCAUUGUGAUCGUCUUGUCUCCAAUGGCAGCAUCCUCACUUUCAAUGUCAAGUUGUGAUUGUUUGGAGAAAACAUCCGACUGAUGGCUUUUUUCCAAAUACUGUACAUUGGCUACCUUUUUUUCUUUUAACUAAAUGUGAUUCCAUGAGUCAAUGUAACAUCUACCCAGCAUUGUGAAAUACAAGCACAUAUUCUCAUGCUUAUGCUGCCCCACAGCCAGGCAUAUCUCGAUAACAGGGAUAUUCAAAGCAUGGUUUGGGGCCAUUUGUGGUCUGUAACUUGUUUUUUAUCAGCCCACAGAAUAUUAUUUUAUAGUCAACUGGGUUAAGCUCCAGCAUGCCCGCAACGCUAGUGAGUAUAAGUGGUAUAGAAAAUAGUUUGAUGCAAUUAAAUUUAUUUUAAAAGGUUAAAUUGUUAAAUAUUGGCACUUCUUUAUCACCUUUGCUACAACGACUGUUUUGUAAUUAUAGUUUUGUGGCACACUGUUGACACACUGUGUACUGCACAGCUGUUUCUCCUUCCGGUAACACACAACACAGUAGAGCAACAUUACUGUGUGAUCUGUAACCCAAGUGAAAUUGAUAAUAUAAUUUAUUUAUAUAUAUAUUUGUAUACUAUAUAUUUUUAUUUAAUAAUACCCUUUCAUAUAAUUAUAGGUGCAUAUAUAUAUAUAUAUAUAUAUAUAUAUGAAGUAUAAAUAAAAUGUUUUAAUAUACAACACUUAGCAACAGGUGAUUUGAAUCAACACUUGCUGCACAGGUAGGCUUGCAAAUGUAUUUCAAACCAACAAUAUGUUUUAACACUGCUGCAUCUAAAUGCGUUAUAGACACCAACUACCACUGCUGCGAGUGGGAGCACUACUGGGGGCAUUUCAUAUAUUAUAGAUUGAACAGAACUGGUAAGCUAAAAUUAGCUUCACUUAGCUUAGCCACCCAGCCUCAUUGUGUAGGCUGGUUCGCAUGAACAGAACAGCAUGAACUUUAUGCAAUUGAGAAUUGAGUAUUGUGUGCACACAGAUCCUUACCAAUAACACAGAUCAUGUGUUGUUCUGGUUAAUU